rnacentral:tRNA from 1 species
GGAGAGGUGGCCGAGUGGUCGAAGGCGCUUGCCUGCUAAGCAAGUGUGGAGGGUAUUUUCCUCCACCGAGGGUUCGAAUCCCUCCCUCUCCG